UGGUCAAAUAAAAUAAAAUAAAUAACAAAAGAUAAGUUUUAAAAAGAGAUGCCGUUUAUUACGUAGUAAUUUGUUUGCCACUUCUAAAGUAAUUACCCAAGGCCCCCAGUCAGAGCCUGCCUGAUUACCAUGAGAUGUCACCCUCACCAUGGGACAGCUCAGGACUGGAAAGUCACUGGAAGUCUGAGCCGCUGCACACCCAGCACUAGCCUCUCUCAGGAACCCAUAUACACAUGGGUUUUCCACUAGGAUGCUGCCGUCCUGACACUGGCUUAAAUCCACAGACUCCACCACUCAUUGCCAGCAAUCCUCAAAGACCUUUGGGGCUGGGACAUCCAGUAUAUCCACUCUUUUAACAACCAGGGCUCCACUGAUGGACAAGGGCACACUUGGGAUAUAAGUCCGUGGCCCUUAGGCCUCUCAUCUGCCCAGGGGCUCCACUCCUAGGCCCUCUCUCUGCCCCCUGCUCAUCCAGUGACCUGGUCUAAGUGGAAAUGAAAGGCUCUUGUAGUCCCCUGGGUGCUACUGGGGAGAGGCCUGUUGACAAAGCUACCAGCUGUCCCCAGUCGGAGCCAGGGAGACGGGCUCCUCCCUGCAACACCCACACCGGGAGAGCCUUCCUGCCACAGACCCAGCCAGCAGCAGAACUUGGACCACCUUGGAGCUCCAGGCCCAGGCUCCAGCAGCCUAUACUAAGGGCCAGGCCACAAGACUGCAACCAGAACAAGUAACCUGCAGGAGGGGCACCACCUGGGGUCUGGUCCAUCUGCACGAGGCCCUGACACCGCUCCUGGUGAGGAAGAUGCAGAGCUGGAAGUCACGUGGGUCUGUAUUCUAGAGAAGUGCCCAGCCUUGUUUGGAGGCGACCUGCAUAUCCCUCACUGUAUCCCAAAGCUGGCCCGGCGGAGAGCCUGCGGGAGAGAGAGUAUGAAGCUCAGAGAAGUGAAGCAACUCCCCAAGGCCACACAGGAGCAGAAGACAUUGCAGACCCGGGUCCAUCCAGCUGGAAGAUGAACUGCUUGUCACUACAAAUCCUGCCUCCCAGUGCCCAGGGCCCACGACCACCUGGGUUUUAUGCUUCUCUUCCUGGAUUGUACGGGAUUCCCUCCCACCCUUCCCUGCUACACACCAGCUCUUUCUUCAGUGACACUGCUGUUUGAAGAGCACUUCCAGCUGGUUUACAAAGCAGUCCCACCUCAGGAGCCAGGUUUCCUGUUUCAAGCAGAGCCCAAGGAUGCAUGUGUCAUGCCUCCCCCAGACUCUCCCUUGCUCUCAGGAGCCGCCUGGGAGGAAGGGUGGCUCUCAGAGCAGCAAGCACAAUACCUUUUUCGGUAGCACUUUUUCUGUUUUUUAUCAUGCAUUUUCUCUUUCUAUGCACUAAUUCCUACGGACCCCAGGGCAGCCUGAGAGGGUAGGCACGGUGGAGAUCCUUCACUCUAUUUUGUAGAAGAGGAAACAGAGGAUUGCCAACCUUAGCAGAUCCCCUGCAGAGAGCAAGCUGAACACAGCUGAACACAGAUCGUCAACCACCUGCCCGACUUCCCUCAAGUCCCUGGGGAGUUUCACUUGACCUAGAGAAUGGGAAUGGAGAGUGAAAGAUUUCAAAAUCUGCACCCAGAGAAGAUAAAGCCUUCUGCAAACAAAUAGAAAUUGGUUAAUUUCCCCUUUUGUGGAGUUCAUUAUAAUGCACUGAUUACAACAUAAGGAAAGGAGAACUCCCAAGCACAAGUGGUCUCUGAAUGUCCAUUAUCAAAACCCCCGGAGGCAGGACCAACUCCAGGCUGGGCAAACAGCAAGGACAGCUCAGCUAGUCGGGGCUAGUCUGGACGCAGGUGUGAAGAGCAUCCAAGUUGCGUGUUCCCAAACCCUUCUGCUGCUGGUCAGAGGGGCUCUGCUUCGACCUUUCCUCACCCCAAGCCAUUUCCUAUCCAGCCUUCUGCCAUCUGACAUGCUCAUCUGUGAUUCUGUUCACAUUGGAAGUAACACUUUCAAUGUCACUCAAAUCAAAGAUUAGAUUACCCAAGAAAAGAGGGGGAGGUUUCUCCACACUGAUUCCCAUCCGUCACUCCAGCUCACCCUCACCACUCCUGUGCAGUAGGACUUGGGGCAGGCUUUACAAAUGCCAUUUUCUAGUCAGAGAAAUUGAGGUUGAAAGGUUAAGUGGCCAGUGUGGGGUUCUGGGACCUUUGCAGUGGAAUCCAGUCUCCUAGUAAGUGUUGCAGGAAGGGCUGGUCAAAGUCACUUGGUCUGGAGGUUGCUGUCCAGUUCUCUGUCCCCACCCCUCCAUACACACACACACACACCCCACUUUCUUUAUUUGCAUUACUCUCCUGGCCCUGUUGGCAUCAGAGUUUAAGAUUCCUGAACUAAUCCUAUUCUCCUCUGUAUAGGAACAGGGAAACUGAGGCGCAAGAAUGAGGAGGGGCCCAUCUAGAUCUCCAGUAGUUGGUAGCAGAGCCGGGGCGAGACCUGAGGGCCCUUGUCAGCCUUCCUCAUUGCUCAGCUUGUGUGUAAUGGAGGCUGGGAAGGGGGUGGCACCAACAAGGCAAGCAUGCAGGGUCCAGUCCAGAUGCCAUUCCUGGGCCCUGGCCAGAAGCCAGCCUGGUCAGCGAGGGGGCAGUGCUGACCCUGGGGCAGUUGGUCUGAGACUGGCAUGGUGGCUGGCCCCUUGUCUGGGGCUAUCUGCUCCAACAGGCAUGGGCAUUCUUGUCAUUCCAAGGCCCUCUCUUCACUCCAACCUGUCUGAGCUGAGUCUGUCCGGAGAAUGAGCUGGGGGGUGGGGAAAUGGCAGGGAUAUCCCCCCACCCCACCCCAGUACACAUACAGCACACAGCCACACUCAUGCUCUGUAUAUCACACACAUGCAUACCACACAUGCACACACACACACACACACACACACACUUCCCUUCUCCUACAACCCUACCCUCUACCCAGUCCUUAAGAACUUUGAUGUCAGACUAUCCUGCCGGAAUCCAGUUCGGCCCUCACUGUUGUUUACGUUGGCUUCAACUGUUCAUUUGUGCAAUGAGCAUAACAGUACUUACCUGCACAGGGAUGCCGAGAGGACUAAAUGAAGUAUUAGGAAACUACGUUGUAACAUGGCUGGCAGAGUGAUGGUCACGACUGUUAUUUUUACCCAAUACUCCCCAUAGCUCACAUAGGCUCUCUCUCUCUCUCUCUCUCUCUCUCUCUCUCUCUCUCUCUCACACACACACACACACACACACACACACACAAAUCCCCAGACACACUCCCAGGCUGCCUUCAGCCAGCCUUCCCACCUUCACUCUCUAACCCUGUACUCCAGGCAGCCUGGGACUCUCCAGGUCUGGGAAGGGGCUGUGUGUGUGUGUCCAGCAUCCUCUGCCCAGAGUGGCCUUCUUUCCACCACCCCACAACCCCUUCAAGCCCAGCUGUAAUGCAGUAUCCUGCAUACAGUCCCUUCUGAGUGCCUUCUGGCCUCCGCUCUCGGAGGGGCAGAAUAAUCUACAAGUUGGGAGAUGCUGGAAAGACUCCUGCUCCAUGACCAGGGUCUCAGGAACAGUUCUUCUGAAGGCUGGGGAAGCAGAGCUGGUCAUCAGGAGCUAAGGGGCCCAGGGAGGGCAGGGGCUGACACCCACCUGUAGGGACAGGUGUCAGGUAGGCCCUGUAGCCUACAGGACAGGGCCUGGGAGGGGGAGGACAUGACCCAGACUCUCCACCUUCCCAGGGAGGAUGGUGCAGAUUUGUCCUGUGAGGUCCCAGAAGAUGGUGUUCCAUGAGAGUUCUACCAUGAGAGUGGAAGAAACUGUGGAAAGAAGGUCCCAUCCAACACUGAGAACCUCACUAAUCAUUGCAAAAGCCCAGUGGCCUUAGGUGAGUUCUCCACCAGGUGAAGGGAAGGGGGAGCCAGAGUCUGGGUGGUGCUGGCCAUGGUAGGCUGGAGGAAACCCUGCUUUGGGUAAAGGAUGGACCAGGAUUCUUCUUAGACUCCUUCAUGAGCUGGGAACUCAUGUCUAAAAUUCAAAGUCAGCCAUGUAAAGAUCUGGAAAUCUGGUUCUAAAAUUCAUGUGGGUCUAGCCCUGUAGCCUACUGGUUAAGGGAGCUGGAUCUCAGAGGGCUGACUACAGUGUGACUCCCGGCCCCAGCAGCUUGAAAAACACAGUGGGUACUUGUGAGUGCAUGCCCAAAGUCCCAACAGAAUGAGAAAUGGAGGAGAAGGGAUUGCAGUAUGACCACAUUCCAUCGGGAGUUGCUUCUCUGCCCCUCAUCUCUCUGUCUCUUAUCUCUGGUGAGCACACA